UCAAACUUUUCUGUAUGAAAGCAUUUGUCAUCAAAAUGAGCCUCAGACCUUCAUGCAACACAUACCUUACUGAGGAAAGAAAAUAGGGAAACUGCCUUUUUAUUCCUUCUCACUGUGCACAUGCUCAGUCGUUGUCUUGAACAGUGUCUCAAGUGCUUGCUUUUUGUUUUGGAUAGUAUUUUAUUUUAUAAAGAGCUGACCCUUCCAUAGAGAUGCCCUAGACUCUAAAAUUAUCAGAACAAUUAAUUUAUUUGUAUCUUCUGUUAUGAUCUCUCAUGUUGACAAUAAAAAUCCUUACUACUUU